rnacentral:rRNA from 1 species
AAUAGUAAAAUCUGCUCAAUGAAAAUAAAUAGCCGCAAUUAGUGCUAAGGUAGCAUAAUCAUUUGUCUCUUAAAUGGAGACUAGAACAAAAGAUUUAACAUUUCAAUUUAUAUAUUCAAUUUGAAUAUCUAAUUUUUCCUAAAUGUAAAAAGACAUUUAUUUUAUAAAAAGACGAUAAGACCCUAUUGAACUUAACUUAAGUUAAACUGGGGCAGUUAAUUAAUUAUAAUUUUAAUUGAAAUACAAACAUAAUAAUCUAGUAAAAUUAAUUAAUUAAGUUACCAUAGGGAUAACAGCGCAAUUAUAUUUUAGAGUUCUUAUCUAAAAAAUAGAUUACGACCUCGAUGUUGAAUUAAUAACCUAUAUAAAGCAAAUUUUAAAAAAGGAAGUCUGUUCGACUUUUAAAAAAUUACAUGAUUUGAGUUCAGACCGGUAUAAGCCAGGUCGGCUUCUAUCUUUUAAAAAUAACUUUACAGUACGAAAGGACCUAAAGUACAAUUUCAUUUAAUAUAUUUGGCAGAAAAAUGCAUUAGAAUUAGAAUCUAAUAAAACU